GAUUUCUGGUCUGGUGCGCCUGGCCCACGGCGUUAGCUUGUGAGUGCUGGGUCGCGCCUGCCAUCCUUCUAGUAAACAACACUACCCUUCACUGGGCCGGUGUUGCGAACUAGAUCUUUUACUUUGAAAAAAUUAGAGUGUUUAAAGCAGGCAUUUGCUAUGAAUACAUUAGCAUGGAAUAAUAAUUUAGGACUUCGGUUCUAUUUUGUUGGUUUCUAGGACUGAAGUAAUGAUUGAUAGGGAUAGUUGGGGGUGCUAGUAUUCAGCGGCCAGAGGUGAAAUUCUCGGAUUCGCUGAAGACUAACUUAUGCGAAAGCAUU
rnacentral:rRNA from 2 species